rnacentral:rRNA from 1 species
CAAGUCGAACGAACCGUUCGGGGUUAGUGGCGGACGGGUGAGUAACGCGUGAGAAUCUGCCCUCAGGAGGGGGAUAACGACUGGAAACGGUCGCUAAUACCCCAUAUGCCGAGAGGUGAAAUGAAUUUCGCCUGAGGAUGAGCUCGCGUCUGAUUAGCUAGUUGGUGGGGUAAAGGCCUACCAAGGCGACGAUCAGUAGCUGGUCUGAGAGGAUGAUCAGCCACACUGGGACUGAGACACGGCCCAGACUCCUACGGGAGGCAGCAGUGGGGAAUUUUCCGCAAUGGGCGAAAGCCUGACGGAGCAACGCCGCGCGAGGGAUGAAGGCCUCUGGGCUGUAAACCUCUUUUCUCAAGGAAGAAGAUCUGACGGUACUUGAGGAAUAAGCCACGGCUAAUUCCGUGCCAGCAGCCGCGGUAAUACGGGAGUGGCAAGCGUUAUCCGGAAUUAUUGGGCGUAAAGCGUCCGCAGGCGGCUUUGUAAGUCUGUCGUUAAAGCGUGGAGCUUAACUCCAUUUCAGCGGUGGAAACUACAAGGCUUGAGUGUGGUAGGGGCAGAGGGAAUUCCCGGUGUAGCGGUGAAAUGCGUAGAUAUCGGGAAGAACACCAGUGGCGAAGGCGCUCUGCUGGGCCAUAACUGACGCUCAUGGACGAAAGCCAGGGGAGCGAAAGGGAUUAGAUACCCCUGUAGUCCUGGCCGUAAACGAUGAACACUAGGCGUCGGGGGAAUCGACCCCCUCGGUGUCGUAGCCAACGCGUUAAGUGUUCCGCCUGGGGAGUACGCACGCAAGUGCGAAACUCAAAGGAAUUGACGG